rnacentral:rRNA from 1 species
AUUGAACGCUGGCGGCAGGCUUAACACAUGCAAGUCGAGCGGUAACAGAGAGAAGCUUGCUUCUCUGCUGACGAGCGGCGGACGGGUGAGUAAUGCCUAGGAAUCUGCCUAGUAGUGGGGGAUAACUUGCCGAAAGGUAAGCUAAUACCGCAUACGUCCUACGGGAGAAAGGAGGGGACCUUCGAGCCUUUCGCUAUUAGAUGAGCCUAGGUCGGAUUAGUUAGUUGGUGAGGUGAUGGCUCACCAAGACCGCGAUCCGUAACUGGUCUGAGAGGGUGAUCGGUCACACUGGAAGUGAGACACGGUCCAGACUCCUACGGGAGGCAGAAGUGGGGAAUAUUGGACAAGGGGGGGAACCCUGAUCCAGCCAUGCCGCGUGUGUUAAGAAGGUCUUAGGAUUGUAAAGCACUUUAAGUUGGGAGGAAGAGCAGUUAACUAAUAUUUGACUGUUUUGACGUUACCGACAGAAUAAGCACCGGCUAACCUCGUGCCAGCCGCCGCCGUAA